rnacentral:rRNA from 1 species
CACGCCGUAAACGAUGGAUAUUAGGUGUUGCGGGCUUUUAAACUCGCAGUGCCGACGCUAACGCAUUAAAUAUCCCGCCUGGGAAGUACGGCCGCAAGGCUAAAACUCAAAGGAAUUGACGGGGGCCCGCACAAGCGGUGGAGCAUGUGGUUUAAUUCGACGCAACGCGAAGAACCUUACCUGGACUUGACAUCUAGAGAAUCCCGCCCAAAAGUGGGAGUGCUCUUCGGAGAACUCUAAGACAGGUGC